AAGUCGUAACAAGGUUUCCGUAGGUGAACCUGCGGAAGGAUCAUUAUCCCAGGCGCACACCCGGUGUCUCCGGGCCCGACCCCAUCCCGCAAGGGGGGCUCUCAAAAAAAAAGAGAGGAUUUCGGGAGAGGCCCGCAGCAUGAGGAGCGCUGUCCUUACACCCACCCUUUGCCUAUGUGUACCCCUAUCGCUUCCUCGGCAGGCUCACCCCUGCCGAUGGAACCAACCAAACCCUUUUGCAUUUUACAAGAAAACUUCUGAUACAAAACCUAAAUUAUUACAACUUUUAACAAUGGAUCUCUUGGUUCUG
rnacentral:misc_RNA from 1 species